CAAACUGGGUAAAAAAAUAAACAAAUAAAUAAAAAAUAAUAAGGGAAUGUGAUGUAAGGCUAAAGACGACAGCUUUCCCCUCUCCUAUCUGUCGCUCCCUCCCUCCUCUCCUCUCCAGACUGGGUUGGACCAGACAGCAGGUGGAGCAGAAGAGGAGCCCGGACGUGGGAUUCCCAAAUCCCUGCCUCUGACUUCUGCACUCAACAAGCAUGGAGAAGCAACAAAUGCCACAUUUUAACAACUCAGGUGUCACAGCAGCAGCCUCUGUGGUCCAGGCGCGCUGAAUAAAGAUGCAUGUGGAUUUGGAGGAAAUAAGCCGCCUUCAAAUCAUAUGAGUCAAAAGGAGGAGAAAGAUGUCCACCCGGUAAUCUCACGCGUGCAGCUGGUGCAGCCUUGUUUAUGUGAGACUUCCAAGAAAA